rnacentral:tRNA from 2 species
GCCUUCUUAGUUCAGUGGCUAGAAUUUUCCACUAGUAGUUACUCAUCGAGUGUUGCUAUGGAACGGUCACCCGUUCAAUUCGGGUAGAAGGCA